CUCUCUUUAGCCUAGCUCUCUGUCUCUCCGACAUAGUCAUCUUCCUCCCUCAGCCAUCCAAGCUUAACUCCACAGUUCACAUCCACGAGGGGUUUCUUCCAAAUUGGUUUGAUAGGAAGGUGAUGUUGUUGUUGCUGUCGCUGACAGACUAUUUUUCCUGGGUUGUGGUUGGUGGGUGUUACUGCGAAUGCUUACAAGGUUGCUGAUUCUCCUUCUAAGAGGUGGAUUUCUUUUGUGCCCAAAAGAUUGUGACUUUGUUGAAAGUUCG